GGCCAAUGGGCGGAGGGGGCGUGGCCGGGCGCGCAGGAGGCGUGCCCACGCGGCCGCGCCUCGCCCCUCCCCGUGCGCCAGCCGCCGGCGGAAGUGACGCGCCAGCCGCCGCCGUCGCCGCUUCCGCCUGUGCCGCCGCCAUGCUGCCCGCUGCCCGCCUGACCCGCGCUCUGCUGCGCCCCGCGGGGCGGCUCGGCCCGGCGCGGCGCGGCCUCAUCUCGGGGCCGCCGCAGCAGCCGCUGGGGCCCGUGGAGACCGUCGUGGGCUUCGCCGCCAUGUUCGUGAGCUGCCUGGGCCCGGCCGCCUGGGUGCUGGCGCACCUCGAGGACUACAAGAAACGGGAGUGACCCCCCCGCCCGCCGCCCCGGCUCCCCUCCGCCACCCUCCCCCGCCGCCGCCGAGACCCUCUGCCGGCACCGAGACCCCCCCCGGGACCAGCGCGACUCUGUAGCGGGACCGACAUGGGGGCACCGCACCGGGACCACCGGGACCACCAGGGACCCCUCUGGGGCCGCCGGGACCACUGGGGACCCGUCCAGGACCCCCGUUAGCACCGGGACCCCCCUCCGGGACCACCAGGGACCCCCGAUAGCGCCAGGACCCCCCACCGGGACCAUCGGCGACCCCUCUGGGAGCACCGGGGACCCCGUUAGCCCUCGGGGUCCUGUGCUGGGGCCCCCCAGUAGCCCCUGGGACCCCCCCCCGGGACCACCAGGGCCCCCCGGGACCAGCGCGGUGGUGCCCCCCCCCCCAAUAAAGGCCGCUUGAUGCUCUGCCCA